rnacentral:rRNA from 1 species
CCUACGAGAGGCAGCAGUGGGGAAUUUUGCGCAAUGCUCGUAAGAGUGACGCAGCGACGCCGCGUGAAUGACGAAGGCCUUCGGGUCGUAAAGUUCUUUCGACAGAGGAGAAAAUGCAUAUAAGUAACUGUGUAUGUAUUGACGGUACCUGUAUAAGCAGCCCCGGCUAACUCCGUGACAGCAGCCGCGGUAAGACGGAGGGGGCGAGCGUUGUUCGGAGUGACUGGGCGUAAAGAGCACGUAGGCGGUGUUGUAAGUCAUUAGUCAAAGACUAGAGCUCAACGUUAGUAAGGCUAGUGAUACUAUAAUACUAGAGUAUCAGAGAGGAUUGCAGAAUUCCUGGUGUAGCGGUGAAAUGCGUAGAUAUCAGGAGGAAUACCGUUAGCGAAGGCGGCAAUCUGGCUGGAAACUGACGCUGAGGUGCGAAAGCGUGGGUAGCAAACAGGAUUAGAUACCCGGGUAGUC